GGGUUGUGAGGUUAAGCGACUAAGCGUACACGGUGGAUGCCCUGGCAGUCAGAGGCGAUGAAGGACGUGCUAAUCUGCGAUAAGCGUCGGUAAGGUGAUAUGAACCGUUAUAACCGGCGAUUUCCGAAUGGGGAAACCCAGUGUGAUUCGUCACACUAUCAUUACGUGAAUACAUAGCGUAAUGAAGCGAACCGGGGGAACUGAAACAUCUAAGUACCCCGAGGAAAAGAAAUCAACCGAGAUUCCCCCAGUAGCGGCGAGCGAACGGGGAGCAGCCCAGAGUCUGAAUCAGCUUGUGUGUUAGUGGAACGGUCUGGAAAGUCCGACGGUACAGGGUGAUAGUCCCGUACACCAAAAUGCACAGGUUGUGAACUCGAAGAGUAGGGCGGGACACGUGGUAUCCUGUCUGAAUAUGGGGGGACCAUCCUCCAAGGCUAAAUACUCCUGACUGACCGAUAGUGAACCAGUACCGUGAGGGAAAGGCGAAAAGAACCCCGGCGAGGGGAGUGAAAAAGAACCUGAAACCGUGUACGUACAAGCAGUGGGAGCCUCUUUAUGGGGUGACUGCGUACCUUUUGUAUAAUGGGUCAGCGACUUAUAUUCUGUAGCAAGGUUAACCGUAUAGGGGAGCCGAAGGGAAACCGAGUCUUAACUGGGCGUUAAGUUGCAGGGUAUAGACCCGAAACCCGGUGAUCUAGCCAUGGGCAGGUUGAAGGUUGGGUAACACUAACUGGAGGACCGAACCGACUAAUGUUGAAAAAUUAGCGGAUGACUUGUGGCUGGGGGUGAAAGGCCAAUCAAACCGGGAGAUAGCUGGUUCUCCCCGAAAGCUAUUUAGGUAGCGCCUCGUGAAUUCAUCUUCGGGGGUAGAGCACUGUUUCGGCUAGGGGGUCAUCCCGACUUACCAACCCGAUGCAAACUGCGAAUACCGAAGAAUGUUAUCACGGGAGACACACGGCGGGUGCUAACGUCCGUCGUGAAGAGGGAAACAACCCAGACCGCCAGCUAAGGUCCCAAAGUCAUGGUUAAGUGGGAAACGAUGUGGGAAGGCACAGACAGCCAGGAUGUUGGCUUAGAAGCAGCCAUCAUUUAAAGAAAGCGUAAUAGCUCACUGGUCGAGUCGGCCUGCGCGGAAGAUGUAACGGGGCUAAACCAUGCACCGAAGCUGCGGCAGCGACACUAUGUGUUGUUGGGUAGGGGAGCGUUCUGUAAGCCGUUGAAGGUGUGCUGUGAGGUAUGCUGGAGGUAUCAGAAGUGCGAAUGCUGACAUAAGUAACGAUAAUGCGGGUGAAAAACCCGCACGCCGGAAGACCAAGGGUUCCUGUCCAACGUUAAUCGGGGCAGGGUGAGUCGACCCCUAAGGCGAGGCCGAAAGGCGUAGUCGAUGGGAAACAGGUUAAUAUUCCUGUACUUGGUGUUACUGCGAAGGGGGGACGGAGAAGGCUAUGUUAGCCGGGCGACGGUUGUCCCGGUUUAAGCAUGUAGGCGGAGGUUCCAGGUAAAUCCGGUACCUUUUAACGCUGAGGUGUGAUGACGAGGCACUACGGUGCUGAAGUAACAAAUGCCCUGCUUCCAGGAAAAGCCUCUAAGCAUCAGGUAACACGAAAUCGUACCCCAAACCGACACAGGUGGUCAGGUAGAGAAUACCAAGGCGCUUGAGAGAACUCGGGUGAAGGAACUAGGCAAAAUGGUGCCGUAACUUCGGGAGAAGGCACGCUGAUAUGUAGGUGAAGUGAUUUACUCAUGGAGCUGAAAUCAGUCGAAGAUACCAGCUGGCUGCAACUGUUUAUUAAAAACACAGCACUGUGCAAACACGAAAGUGGACGUAUACGGUGUGACGCCUGCCCGGUGCCGGAAGGUUAAUUGAUGGGGUUAUCCGUAAGGAGAAGCUCUUGAUCGAAGCCCCGGUAAACGGCGGCCGUAACUAUAACGGUCCUAAGGUAGCGAAAUUCCUUGUCGGGUAAGUUCCGACCUGCACGAAUGGCGUAAUGAUGGCCAGGCUGUCUCCACCCGAGACUCAGUGAAAUUGAACUCGCUGUGAAGAUGCAGUGUACCCGCGGCAAGACGGAAAGACCCCGUGAACCUUUACUAUAGCUUGACACUGAACACUGGUCCUUGAUGUGUAGGAUAGGUGGGAGGCUUUGAAGUGUGGACGCCAGUCUGCAUGGAGCCAUCCUUGAAAUACCACCCUUUAAUGGCUGGUGUUCUAACGUGGACCCGUAAUCCGGGUUGCGGACAGUGUCUGGUGGGUAGUUUGACUGGGGCGGUCUCCUCCUAAAGAGUAACGGAGGAGCACGAAGGUUAGCUAAUCCUGGUCGGACAUCAGGAGGUUAGUGCAAAGGCAUAAGCUAGCUUGACUGCGAGAGUGACGGCUCGAGCAGGUGCGAAAGCAGGUCUUAGUGAUCCGGUGGUUCUGAAUGGAAGGGCCAUCGCUCAACGGAUAAAAGGUACUCCGGGGAUAACAGGCUGAUACCGCCCAAGAGUUCAUAUCGACGGCGGUGUUUGGCACCUCGAUGUCGGCUCAUCACAUCCUGGGGCUGAAGUAGGUCCCAAGGGUAUGGCUGUUCGCCAUUUAAAGUGGUACGCGAGCUGGGUUUAGAACGUCGUGAGACAGUUCGGUCCCUAUCUGCCGUGGGCGCUGGAGAAUUGAGGGGGGCUGCUCCUAGUACGAGAGGACCGGAGUGGACGCAUCACUGGUGUUCGGGUUGUCAUGCCAAUGGCAUUGCCCGGUAGCUAAAUGCGGAAGAGAUAAGUGCUGAAAGCAUCUAAGCACGAAACUUGCCCCGAGAUGAGUUCUCCCUGAGACUAUAAGUCUCCUGAAGGAACGUUGAAGACGACGACGUUGAUAGGUCGGGUGUGUAAGUGUAGCGAUACAUUGAGCUAACCGAUACUAAUGAACCGUGAGGCUUAACCUUACAACGCCGAAG
rnacentral:rRNA from 1 species